GUGACAGCAGCAGAAAUGCCUUCCAGGAGAGCUGAAAAUGAGUGGUUGGCAUUAGAUGUUGUGCUGGUAAGUAUAGGUUGAAGUAAAGAUGCUUUUGGAGCAUUCACUGGUUAUUCAAUGCUUAGUAAUAAAGGUAAUAAAUAAAAAUUUUUAUAAGAGCAAUCCUGGAAGGACCAUGAGAGGUAUCAGAAAAUACAGCUCCUGGCUGGUAAAGCACCCUGUAGCUGUGCAGGAAAGAGAGCAUGGUAUGACUGUACAAAAAACCCUUUAUUCCACCUGUGGGAAGGAGUAGCUCAGACAUAUCCUUGGAGUAUUGUCAGGUGAAAGAGUAACAGCACUGAUCCAACCUCCUCCACCACUCUCUUUUUUAUCAACUAGAUUCUCCUGAGGUGGCUCAAUUUCUGCCUUCUGUUGCUGUUAUUAACUUGAGAAGUCUCAUUCUCUUCCCCGAAUUUGUGGCUCACGCUGGCGAAAUGAGCAGAAUCAGCUGCAGGAUAGCUCAUCUGUUCCUGCUGACAGAGCUCCGAGUCCCAGAGGCGCUGCAGGGAAUCAGCAGAUCCACUGAGCGCUCUCCAGGGCUGCUUUCCAAGCAGAUCUGCCUUCUGUGACCUUCCAAGGGAGACUCUUGUGAAGGAAUAACUCCCCCCCUGCUGGCCGUGCCACGGAGGACUCUGGAAUCUCAAAGGACAACCACUUGGGAAAUCGGGGAAUCUGCCCCAGACAGAGUGUCCAGGUGGUGACUUUGUGAGUGUCUUCAGGCUGGGUAAGACAGACACAAUUCCUUCCAGAGCAGCACAGCCUGUGCUUGGUGCAGGGCUUUGGGCUGCUGGUUGUGCCUGAGGUUCCACACUCCCAGGCGUGGGGAGAUGAGGGAGGCAGACAUCAAAGUGCUGUCACACAGGGCCAGGAGUGUGGCUGCUGCUCCCAUCCCAUCCAACGUGUCAAUCAGCAACCCCCAGCUGCAUAAACUCCACACCUGGGAAAAGCUGGAGGGGGAAACUCAUCAUUGCCUGAUUCUAUUUAAGAGGUGAAAUAAUAAAUCUUCAUUAACUUGCCCAGAAACAUGAGUCAAAGGAUAACACCUUAGCACUAGCAAGCCAAACAUUGCCUUUUUUACCCUAAAACAGACGUUUGCAGCACCUGGAGGUUUGUUUUGCUCUGGAAGGUGCUUAAUGAGCCCCUGCCCAGUGGGGGCUGUGCUGUCUGUUCACCUCCAGCUGUGUGUGCCAGCUGGGCUCUGCUCACAGCUGGGUAACAGGGCAGCUUUUGGGAUUUCUGAUUGAAAACGUUGCAGAAAUGAAACUAUUUCAGGCCUGGGGCAUAAACUGGCUGGAGCUGUGCGUGGACAGUGCUCUCUGUGCAGGGUCAAGGAGAGCAGAGAGGCUUGAAGCAAUAAAUGAUCAUCUUUUUUAGAGGCGUGGCAGUUCUGGAAACGCAUUCAGGACUGCAAAUCCACACCCCAGCAGGUAGCUGGGGAUCAAUCCAACCCCUUUACUGGAUCAGAGGCAUGUUCUCAGAGAUGACAGCUGUGUGGACCAUUCCUUCACGUUCCAAAUCUGUCUCCAUGAGCCUGUGGAAUCCCUUUGGAUCAGCCAGGGUGCACUUAUACAUACCCCUCAAAGUCUGCACCAGUAAGAUGUUAGUUCCUGAUUUAUUGAGCCUUUAAUCCCCUUCAACACCCUGUCCUUAUGCAUAUGUUUUAAUGACUAUAUUUCCUUAAAGGGAAGCUUAGAACCAGUAAAAAAUAAUCCUGUCAGCUGAAGUUUUUCUCACCAUUUCCAUCUCACUGCCCAGGAAAGGGCUCCUGGUGUGCAGGCGUGUUCUGGGCCCUCCACAAAGAGGGUUUCACCCAACCUUUGUUGCCCCUGAGGCACAGUGGUUCAAUCAGGCUGGGCAAGUAAAAAAUUCCAUGUGCUGGCCCCUUUAACAGGACACUUGGCAUGUGGGAGAGCAGCCUUUCCCAGCACUUCCCUAAGGGAUGGGAGCUGCUGAACCUGCAGCAAGAACAGACUCCUGACACCACCCCAAAGGAGGCUCAGGCUCAGCGUUCCCAUCAGAAGGGAUCUGCACAAAAAAACACCAGGGCAAGGGGAAGAUGUGAGGCUGGCAGAGCUUGAGCUGAAAGAGAGAUUAGCAGUGAAAUUUAGUCUGCUUACAGGGUGUUGGGCAAAGCUGUGAAGUGCAGUGGGAUAGAAAGUGUUUUGCUUGUGCAUUUGGGGACUGGGCUCUGGAAGUGUGAGGAGGAUGCUCUGGUCAGAGUGGAGAAGGAAGGCUCUUCUGUCUGGAACCUUCAUGGUCGUGGUAAACUGAACCUGGUCGUUCUUCCAGCACCUUUAAGCUGAGCACUGUCCAUACCUUGGCAGCUGAGGAAGAAUAAACAAUCCUCCUCAUCCACAGGAAGGUCAUGUCUGGGCUGUUCUUUGGGAUGUGUAUCCAGAUAAUAAACCUGGCUCUGCCAGAAAUCAAAUCCCACCUGUGCAGACUGUGAUUGGUGGCAGCAGAAACAACAGAGAUUCCUUUUCCAAACGCCUUCACACCCCUCACCUCGGCUAUAAACCAGGGGUUUGUGUUUGAUAAAA